GGAGAGUGGGGCGGAUGAGGCGGCAAGGGCUGACGGAGGAGUGCCUGGGGGAGGGGAGGAUGGUGCCUGAGUGGUGAUGGGAGAUGGGGGGAUGAUGAAAGAGGCAGGAAUGGGGAGACAGGAGCUGGUGGUUCUCCUGGGGGUCUCUCUCACAGCCUGGGAGUGAAGGGGUUUUCCAUGUGCAAACCAACCAUCUUGUUCAGGGGUUAGUGGUGUUGAUGGAAGUAGCGUGAGGGGACAGUAGCUAGCAGGAAUGGGAUGAAUGAAGAGAUGAGAACUUUAGGGUAAAACUCAUGGAGAGUUCCCUGGGAAUGAAAUGUGAUGGACUGUGGAAUGAUUCCUUGAGGAACUGUGGAAGCCCUAUCGUUUGGGACUGGACCAAACCUUUGAAAAGAGACCUUUAAGGAGAAAUCUUGCAGAAGAAUGUAAAAAUGGCCAUACUGGGUCAGAUCAAUGGUCCAUCUAAUCCAGUAUCCUGUCUUCAAACAGUGGCCAGUACCAGAUGCUUCAGAGGAAAAGAACAGAACAGGACAGUUAUCGAGUGAAAUUAUCAGUAGAACAGAUGGACUAGAAUCUAACCGGUCUUUGCCAGCACUAACGUCUGAGAUUCUCUUGAUCUGUCCCAUUCUUUUUCAGCAUGAAAGAGGCCACAGUGUGAGCCCCCUCUGAUGAGACUUCCAUUUCUGGUCACCCACUUAUGCAUUGUUAUUUGCAGCAUCUAGUGAGAAAGGCCAUCUCAGUCAGCACACUAGGGAGUGAUAUGAACAGGAAGAAGAGAGAGGCAACGGGAGAUGGCGGGGGGAAAAAUCAGCUUAGAGGAGAAAACAGCAGAAACAUGGUAAGUGUGUUUCAUUCGGGAAGGGGAUAUUUGUACCGACAUCUCUCCCAACCGCUGCUGCUUCUGCUUAUUUCCUUUCUCUCUCCACCUCUUCCUCUUUCUGCAGAGGCGAUUGAAGUGUGGGCACCUGUGAGACCUUUAGCUCCGUCUCUUAUGUUAGGCCUCUUCAUUCUAGCAUGUAGAAACUUACCUAAAAUGGUCAAGAGAAGCUUAGAUUUAUAAUGUGGCUGAAAUGAACACAUACAGUAGUGUAAUUUCAAUCCAAAAAAAAUCACCAGCAUUUUUUAAGGAAGCAUUUUUCCC
rnacentral:lncRNA from 1 species